UCCUAUUCCACAGUGAAAUCUGAGGUUGCCUUUAAACUACAACAAAGGAACUGGUGAUGCUGCCAUUGUGUGGCCUCUUACGAUAUAUUUUUGGACCUGUUACUAGAUGGCACACGCAUUAGCUGCCAUAAGAAACAAAUCAUUUUUUAUUUUAAUAUGUCAGCUGAGACGCGUUUGACUACCUUCUUACUUAUUAUGCAGGGCACCAAGUAACGAAUAAUUGGAUCUCAAAGCUCAUAUAUGAAGCACCGAUCUUGGUAGUGGCAUAAAUGGAAGAUGAGAUCUAUGAAUAACAAAUACAAUAAUUACCUGUAGUUUCUAUAAUUUUCAAAGUUUGUAUUCUCUUCAAGAUUUUCAGUCGUUCAAGCUCACAAAUAAGAUACAUAUGGGCAUCAAUUCUAUCAGGUUUUUACACACAUGC
rnacentral:rRNA from 1 species